rnacentral:rRNA from 1 species
UACGAAGGGUGCAAGCGUUAAUCGGAAUUACUGGGCGUAAAGCGUGCGUAGGCGGUUUGUUAAGUCUGCUGUGAAAUCCCCGGGCUCAACCUGGGAAUGGCAGUGGAUACUGGCAAGCUAGAGUGUGUCAGAGGAUGGUGGAAUUCCCGGUGUAGAGGUGAAAUUCGUAGAUAUUGGGAGGAACACCGGUGGCGAAGGCGACCGCCUGGACGAAGAUUGACGCUGAGGCGCGAGAGCGUGGGGAGCAAACAGG